rnacentral:rRNA from 1 species
GAGUUUGAUCCUGGCUCAGAUAGAACGCUGGCGGCAGGCCUAACACAUGCAAGUCGAGCGCGAAAGUCUUCGGAUGAGUAGAGCGGCGGACGGGUGAGUAACGCGUAGGAAUCUACCUGGUAGUGGGGGAUAACUCGGGGAAACUCGAGCUAAUACCGCAUACGUCCUGAGGGAGAAAGCGGGGGAUCGCAAGACCUCGUGCUAUCAGAUGAGCCUGCGUAGGAUUAGCUAGUUGGUAGGGUAAAGGCCUACCAAGGCGACGAUCCUUAGCUGGUCUGAGAGGAUGAUCAGCCACACUGGGACUGAGACACGGCCCAGACUCCUACGGGAGGCAGCAGUGGGGAAUAUUGGACAAUGGGGGCAACCCUGAUCCAGCCAUGCCGCGUGUGUGAAGAAGGCC